AGAAAACACCUUUUGCCACGCCUCAAUUGCCACGGUUAUAGGCGGAACCGUGGCAAUAGGUCAGUUACCACGGUUAUACACGGAACCGUGGCAAAAUGGUACAAUAUUUUAUUAUUUUAUUUAGGAACCGUGGCAAUAGACAAUUUUUUUUGAGAUUUUCACUUACCCAAAAACCCUAACCCUCUCGAUCUGUUCUCUUGGUUCCCUCUCUAUUCGCUGCAAUACGUCCUUCUCUCCCUCUCGUUCUCACUGCAAGUCAGUCCUCCUCUCCCUCUGCUUCUCAAUCGCUCUCUCUCUCCCUCUCCUUCGCAUGGGAGAAUCGCUCCUUCUCCUGCUCGGUGCCGCCCAUUCCACCGGCGCCGCUCCUUCCCUCACACGAUGAUGGUGGAAGAAUCUUCUGUUAUCUUCUAGAUACAUUUCGUUCCAGAUCUGUUUCUCCGUUUCCUUCGUUUCACUCGAAGAGCAGAUCGGUGACGAAGAUGAAAACAAAGAAGGUGACCCUCCCUGAGCACGCGACGGCGCGUCCUGUGGCGGCAAUGCGAAGAGUGAACACGGUGGCUAAGGUGGUGCCGCCCGUGCCAUUGCCUGCGCACCAUCUUCCCAACUCAUCCCGACUUGGAAGCUGGUUCCACUUUCUCUCUCUGCUGUGGUUCUGCCUCUCUUUAUUUCCUCGCAGUUGCUGCAUUAUGGAAAAUCGAAUUUAACCGAUGGCAAUACUUGAAAAUGCUGCCAACAAUGGUCAUAGUUUCUGUCUUUCAUUAUGUGUGAUUGGGAGAGGAUCUCAAUCUUAGUGUCUUAUAGACAAAGGUAAUCUCGAGAGUACAUCUUUGAUUUCAUAUUGUUCAUCUCAGGUACUAUAGACCAUUGAGAUGUUACUAGACUAGAGCAUGGCAGCACUGCAAUGGUUUUUAUACACGACACUUGUUUCUUGUUCCUAUAGAUUAGGAUGUCCAAGAAGUUUUUCCUAUUCCUAAAUCCAAUUUGUUAUUUUUCCUCUAGUAGGCAUCCAUAUUUGGUCUUUUUGUUUCAAUUGCUUUCUCAUAUUUUCAUUGUAGCUUACACACAUAAAACUUGUCUAAUGAAGCUGUGUUAUUGAUGUCUUAUUAAUCUACAAACUGUUUGAUGAAAUGCUUGACUGACUUUUUCUCCUUUUUCUUCAUGUUUUUGUUGAAUGUGUGAGUAUCACAAAGCUUGAAAAACGCACGGAGUCCAUAACUGAGGUAGCGCACCAGCCCUCUUUUGAAUUUGUGAAGAGUAAGGCAGGAGGAGAGCGCAUCCAAUAAAUGCUUAGAAUCUGGAACUGAGAUAUUCCGCCUGGUUGGGGGACUUUUGGGUUCUGGAUACUGAUAUAUGGCAAUGGUCUGAAUUAACUAGCUUUGGUGACUUGCCUUCAUCGAGGGAUUUCACUGCAGCUUCAGCAAUUGGAAACCGGAAAAUUGUUAUGUGUGGUGGAUGGGAUGGAAAAAAGUGGUUAUCUGAUGUUUAUGUCAUGGACACAAGUAUUUUAAGGAGGAGGUGGACCAAUUAUGGGCGAUUUAUGGGCAUUGAAGGGCCUUAUUGAAGAAGGCAAAUGAAAAACUUAGAGGAUGAUGCUUAUAGCUUUGGAUUCAUACUACUUGAGGCACUUGUUGGACCCUCAGUAUCUGCUAAAAGAGAAGCAAGUGUGCUCAGUG